rnacentral:tRNA from 1 species
GGAGAGAUGUCUGAGCGGUCGAAAGAGACGGUCUUGAAAACCGUUGAUGGGCAACCAUCCGCGAGUUCGAAUCUCGCUCUCUCCG